rnacentral:lncRNA from 1 species
GUGGAGUGUGUCACUGUGGAUGGCGAAUAUGGUGUGGUUGGCGAUUAGUGGUUGGGUUAUUUCUUGCUUAACUGUUGCUGAUGAGAUCGCCGGUUCGAUUCGGACCGGUGAUAUCGGUCCGUUUCAUGUCGGCUAGGUUCUUAUUUGCUACCGGUUUUAAUUUUGUGCAGGGUUGUAAUGAUUUCAGUUUCUUUUCAAGGUGAUAAAAAAUGUAGUUGUUGUGUGCUUGAAAGAUGGCAUGAUCAGUUUGUGGUGUAUGAUCAGUUUGUCUUAUGUUCAUGAUUUCGAAACUAUUAUAAUCGAUACAAAGUAGGUCUUAAAGAACUAGUUUUGUACUCAUCCAACUUUUGGUGUUUAUAUUAGUGCAAUUGAGACAAAUUGUGAUGUAUGUUUUGUACCCAAUGUGACCCGAGCAUCGAUGUUCAUAUGCUCGUCACGUGUUUUAACAAUCACCUGUAUACAUAGGUUACAAUUUCGACCUGUUUAUCUAUAAUACGUGUCACCUAUUAUGCGCGUGCACUGUUUGAUUC